CGGGGGACGGGGGACGGGGCAGUCUCCUGGGCCUGCCCGUGCUCGGCUCCCCGGAAACGCGAGGAGAGGGCGCCGCGGGGAGACGGCUGUUUACCUGGGGCGGCGGCAGGAGUUUAUGGCGAUGCUGUAUCUUUGAACUUACAAGUUGAAGCACACCUUGUGUUUUUAGCCACGAAUUGUCUUUGUAGCUCUUGAGAAUUCCCACCUUGAACAUGGGAUAAGAAAUGGUGCCUUCUAUCUUCGUUGUUUCCACUGUUAGCUGAGUGCUUUGAAAAUCCAAAUUGUUCUGUCCGUGCAUAACUUCUGUUUGACUGAAACUUGGGGAGCUCGUUUCUCCUCUCUUAGAGUCUGCCUGCCUUUCAUCAUCUUCAGCUGAAAUCCCACCAUCUGGACUUAAUUUCGGCUCUGAGGUGCUCUUCACGUUGUCUGAUGCAAGUCGAUCGCCGUCUGGGGAUGCUGGCGUGCUUGUGCUGGGUGGCAGGCGAAGGCUGCCCUGACGCUCUGGGACCAGGUGCGUUCUUUGGUCCUUCUCUUCCUUCACACGGAAGGAACCAACUUUUUUCCUGAACCCUGUCCCUGGUGGCAUGCAGCGGGAAGUAUCCUCAUACAACUCCUCCCCGUUGAAAAGAUACCUAUACAUGCUGUAGCCAUCGGCACUGUUGAUGCUGCUUUGCCUUAGAAGGUAUGUUGCAUCGCACUCAGAAGAAGCCCGGGACCGGGUCUGUAUCAGGUCGGACUUGUCGAUUCCUGCGAGGUUUUCCAGCGCAUUUACCAUUCUGCUAGAUAGUUCUUCCAGUUGGGAAAGGCGAAGGUCAACAGUCUGCAGGGAAGUUUUCAUAAAGUUUUCUCUUUCGUUGAUUUCUUCCAACCUCAUGGACAUAUUUUCAACUCUGGCGGAUACAAAGGGGUAGGUUUAUUACACUGAGAUGA